rnacentral:lncRNA from 1 species
GAUAUACUAAGCCUCUUGAGUCUAUGCAGAUUGUGUAUGCACAUAUCAAGAGGUAAACUACUAGACAAACUAUUACUCCUUAGUUCCAAAACUUCUAGAAAUGACAUGUUGAAGAUAGAUGGGGGAAUGGGGCCAUGAAAAGAGUUACGAUUCGCAUAAAAAGAGACAAGGAAAGAAAGAUUUCCAAUUUCUGGCGGGAGGGUUCCGACAAGACCCAUGUACGAUAUAUUCAACUGAGUAACCCUAUUGUAAUGUGAAUCACAAGUAACUCCGAUCCAACUACAAACACUGGCUUCAGUGCUCCAAUUUUGGGUCAAUAUAUUUUGAGGAUCUAAAGUGAUUUGAGAUUUCAAGGCAAGAAGUGAAGAACGAUCGGUGUUGAUAUCGUGUUUGGCUGAGCUAGAAUCCAUCAAAUAAUGGAUUGGUAAGAGUAGUGCAAGGAUGAGAAAAUGGGGAGAUUUUUGCAUUUUUUGGCUUGAUUUUGACAGUAGUAAUUUUUUAGAAUAUUGAACUAUGAAAUCUAUAGACGUGUAUAUAUAGAGUGUGUGUGGAUAUGAUGGGCAAAUGGGAAGGAUUAAUGAUGAAAGUAGGAAAUGCAGAGUUUCCUUUUAUCAAAGCUAAAAUAAUAUUUUCCCAUUGGAAAAGACGAAGAAAAUAAUUGUGGAACUAUAAAGAGUGAUUUUUGGAGGCAAAAGCAACUAAGACUAACCCAAAUCUUAAAAAAUGACCCUAAUAUUCAUAUUAAAAUAGCAUUAUAAGUUUUGGUCGUGAUCAGAGGGCUACGUCAGUUGAAUAAACAACAAAACAUGUUUGUUUAUUUGAAGUGGUAGAAUAACAUUCAAAAGUAGAAGAUAUUCUCUAUUUUUAUAAUAGAUUUGGGAGACUUUAAAUCCCCCUUUUUUUGAUCUUUGAAUAAGAUAUAAUAAAGGGUAAUUCACACUUCGCAAUCUAAAACCAAGCUCUACGCAAUUGCCCCCUUAAAAUAGAGCAAUUGUUGCAAUUUGAAUUCGAGUUAUUUUGAAUAAUAAUAAUAAUAAUAAUAAGCUCUUGGUAACGACGAAAUUUAUUCAAAUUCAAACUAUUAUUCCAUAGAUCCAAAACCUCUAGUGACGACAUGUUGAAGAUAGAUGGGGGAAUGGGGCCAUGAAAGUAGUUCCCGUUCGCUACUAAAGAAACGAGAGAAGAAAGAUUCCCAAUUUCUGGUGGGAGGGUUCCGACAAGACCCAUGUCCGAUAUAUUCAACUGAGUCACCCUAUUGUAAUGUGAAUCACAAGUAACUCCGAUCCAACUACAAACACUGGCUUUAGUGCU